UACGUAGGGUGCAAGCGUUGUCCGGAAUUAUUGGGCGUAAAGAGCUCGUAGGCGGUGUGUCACGUCGUUCGUGAAAACCUGCAGCUUAACUGUGGGCGUGCGGUCGAUACGGGCAUCACUGGAGUUCGGCAGGGGAGACUGGAAUUCAUGUGUAGCAGUGAAAUGCGUAGAGAUCAUGAGGAAGACCAGUGGCGAAGGCGGGUCUCUGGACAGUUCCUGACACUGAGGCACGAAGGCCAGGGGAGCAAACGGG
rnacentral:rRNA from 1 species